GACAGAGGGUGCAAACGUUGUUCGGAAUUACUGGGCGUAAAGCGCGUGUAGGCGGCCCUGCAAGUCGGAUGUGAAAUCCCGCGGCUCAACCAUGGAAGUGCAUUCGAAACUGCAGAGCUAGAGUCCUGGAGAGGAAGGUGGAAUGCUUGGUGUAGAGGUGAAAUUCGUAGAUAUCAAGCGGAACACCGGUGGCGAAGGCGGCCUUCUGGACAGUGACUGACGCUGAGACGCGAAAGCGUGGGGAGCAAACAGG
rnacentral:rRNA from 1 species